UACGUAGGGUCCGAGCGUUGUUCGGAAUUACUGGGCGUAAAGGGCGCGUAGGCGGCCCGCUAAGUCGAACGUGAAAUCCCCGAGCUCAACUCGGGAACUGCGUCCGAUACUGGCGGGCUUGAAUCCGGGAGAGGGAUGCGGAAUUCCAGGUGUAGCGGUGAAAUGCGUAGAUAUCUGGAGGAACACCGGUGGCGAAGGCGGCAUCCUGGACCGGCAUUGACGCUGAGGCGCGAAAGCUAGGGGAGCAAACGGG
rnacentral:rRNA from 1 species